CACGAUAAAGGCAAACCCAGAGUGAUCUGGGGACGCAAAGUAAAAGGGUCUUUUAGACGUACACGGACGCAGAUUGCAAAAGACGAUUUUACAGUAAAGACAGCCUUACUGCCGAAG
rnacentral:ncRNA from 1 species